UUCAUAUUCGUCGAUUCGUGGAGUUGAGGAUUCAACAAUUAGGUUUUACGUUAAACCAUAUUAAAAUCGUACAUUAAACCAAUGAUCUAAAAAUGGUUAUUGGUGAAACAAAACUAUCCAAAUUUUGAUUAACAGUCUACAUCUUGAAGACUUGAACUAUAUAAUGACUGAAAUUGCCUCAUGUUUCACCAUUGUCAUCAUCCAUAACUAAGUCUUCAACAACUAAUAUAAAUUAAUUUCUAAGUCGUUGAUAGACAUUCAUGCGUUUUCAUAUAUACAAUGGAAUGGGAUCUUUGAUAAUUUACCCCCAAUGCUACAGGAAUCGCAAUGGGACCUUUGAUGAAAUCUCAAACAUGUUCACCGAUAUUGAAGAGCUCGAUAAUGGAAAAUAGUUCUGUUGCAAACUUUAAUGUAAGACAUGUUUAUUGCUUGGUUGGACAGGUUUAUGAAGAUGUAAAUAAAUAUAACUACGGUUAUUGUAGUCAACCGAAACAUUUUUAUAUGAUAGAAAAUGAAAAUUUUCUUAUCCGAAUAAGAAUUUUUUUAGAAGGUACGUUUAAAAUCAUUCUAUGGACGCCACAUCA
rnacentral:lncRNA from 1 species